GAUGAACGCUGGCGGCGUGCCUAAUACAUGCAAGUCGAGCGAACGGACGAGAAGCUUGCUUUUCUGAUGUUAGCGGCGGACGGGUGAGUAACACGUGGAUAACCUACCUAUAAGACUGGGAUAACUUCGGGAAACCGGAGCUAAUACCGGAUAAUAUUUUGAACCGCAUGGUUCAAAAGUGAAAGACGGUCUUGCUGUCACUUAUAGAUGGAUCCGCGCUGCAUUAGCUAGUUGGUAAGGUAACGGCUUACCAAGGCAACGAUGCAUAGCCGACCUGAGAGGGUGAUCGGCCACAUUGGAACGUAGACACGGUCCAGACCCCUACGGGAGGCAGCAGUAGGGAAUCUGCCGCAAUGGGCGAAAGCCUGACGGAGCAACGCCGCGUGAGUGAUGAAGGUCUUCGGAUCGUAAAACUCUGUUAUUAGGGAAGAACAGAUGUGUAAGUAACUGUGCACAUCUUGACGGUACCUAAUCAGAAAGCAACGGCUAACUACGUG
rnacentral:rRNA from 1 species